CCUACGGGAGGCAGCAGUGGGGAAUCUUAGACAAUGGGGGAAACCCUGAUCUAGCCAUGCCGCGUGAGUGACGAAGGCCCUAGGGUCGUAAAGCUCUUUCAACUGUGAAGAUAAUGACGGUAGCAGUAGAAGAAACCCCGGCUAACUCCGUGCCAGCAGCCGCGGUAAUACGGAGGGGGUUAGCGUUGUUCGGAAUUACUGGGCGUAAAGCGUACGUAGGCGGACUAUUAAGUCGAGGGUGAAAUCCCGGGGCUCAACCCCGGAACUGCCUUCGAUACUGGUAGUCUUGAGUUCGAGAGAGGUGAGUGGAAUUCCGAGUGUAGAGGUGAAAUUCGUAGAUAUUCGGAGGAACACCAGUGGCGAAGGCGGCUCACUGGCUCGAUACUGACGCUGAGGUACGAAAGUGUGGGGAGCAAACAGGAUUAGAUACCCCAGUAGUC
rnacentral:rRNA from 1 species